CCGUAACUAUAACGGUCCUAAGGUAGCGAAAUUCCUUGUCGGGUAAGUUCCGACCCGCACGAAAGGCGUAAUGAUUUGGGCACUGUCUCAACAAUGCACCCGGUGAAAUUGAAAUACCAGUGAAGAUGCUGGUUACCUGCGCCAGGACGGAAAGACCCCAUGGAGCUUUACUCCAGCUUGAUACUGGGAUUCGGUAUUGCAUGUACAGGAUAGGUGGGAGGCUAGGAAGUGAUAACGCCAGUUGUCACGGAGCCGCUGUUGGGAUACCACCCUUGCAGUAUUGGAUUUCUAACCAGCGACCAUGAACUGGUCGGGGGACAAUGUCAGGUGGGGAGUUUGACUGGGGCGGUCGCCUCCGAAAGGGUAUCGGAGGCGCUCAAAGGUUCCCUCAGAAUGGACGGAAACCAUUCGAAGAGUGCAAAGGCAGAAGGGAGCUUGACUGCGACACCGACGGGUGGAGCAGGUACGAAAGUAGGACUUAGUGAUCCGGUGGUAUAAAGUGGGAUUGCCAUCGCUCAACGGAUAAAAGCUACCCUGGGGAUAACAGGCUUAUCACUCCCAAGAGUUCACAUCGACGGAGUGGUUUGGCACCUCGAUGUCGGCUCAUCGCAUCCUGGGGCUGAAGUAGGUCCCAAGGGUUGGGCUGUUCGCCCAUUAAAGCGGUACGCGAGCUGGGUUCAGAACGUCGUGAGACAGUUCGGUCCCUAUCCGGCGUGGGCGUAGGAUAUUUGAGAGGAGCUGUCCUUAGUACGAGAGGACCGGGAUGGACUGGCCGCUGGUGUAUCUGUUGCAUACCAAAUGCAUGGCAGAGUAGCCAAGCCGGGACGGGAUAAACGCUGAAGGCAUCUAAGCGUGAAGCCCCCCUCAAGAUGAGAUAUCCCUACGUAAGUAGUAAGACCCCUUGAAGACGACGAGGUAGAUAGGUCAGAGGUGGAAGUACAGUAAUGUAUGGAGCUGACUGAUACUAAUCGGUCGAGGGCAUGACCAAG
rnacentral:rRNA from 1 species